CUAAGACAGAAACUUUGAGUCGUAACCCGGAAAGUAAGGUUUUCACACCCUUUGGAUUAUCUGGACCCUCACUUUCUUUUGAAAAAGCAGCAGCAUGAGAGCCACCGUCAAUCCCAGACCGAAGACGAACCAGCUCUUGUUCUUCAACAAACUCCCCAAAAACGCCAGAAUGAGGAGGUAUCUCGCUCUUCUGGCGACUCGUCUCAAACCUAGUUUCCGGCCUUCAAGACUGCCCCUGGUGGCCAAGCUAAGCCUAAGAAGGCCAAGGUGACUAAACCGGUGGAAGACCCGCCAGUCCUUGCUCCUGAAUCGGCAAGGCCACCUUCUCCUCCAUCAAUUGAAACUCCAGAAGACCCGCCUAUCAAUGCAGAAGUAAAUCCUCCUGAGCCGUCGUUUGAUGACACCACCAUGAAUCCUUUCGCAACUGCACCAUCAAGCUCAGCCAACCCGCCAUCACCGUCUACGCAAGACGUUUUGAUCACCGGGAGACGCUUUGUUGAGCCGGGGAAUCCAACCGUGUUUGCUCUCCACACGGCGAAACAAGAGGCAUUAGAGAGACAGAAAGUGCACUUUGAUGUUGCACAUUAUGAUCAUCUGAAUUCCAACGAUAUUUUAUCCGGUUAUCUCAGCCAUGUGCACUCCAGUCGCGACUCAAAGAUCGAAAUGGUCAAACUGUUGCAGCUGAAAUACGAGAAUGCCUUAUCUAAACUGAACUCGCAAUUGACUGAUGCGAAGACCCGGCUAGCGGG